rnacentral:rRNA from 1 species
CCUACGGGAGGCAGCAGUGGGGAAUAUUGCACAAUGGGGGAAACCCUGAUGCAGCGACGCCGCGUGAAGGAAGAAGUAUUUCGGUAUGUAAACUUCUAUCAGCAGGGAAGAAAAUGCCGGUACUUGACUAAGAAGCACCGUCUAACUACGUGCCAGAAGCCGCGGUAAUACGUAGGGGGCAAGCGUUAUCCGGAUUUCCUGGGGGUAAAGGGAGCGUAGGCGGCGAUGCAAGUCAGAAGUGAAAGCCCUGGGCAUAACUCCGGGACUGCUUUUGAAACUGUCGGGCUAGAUUGCAGGAGAGGUAAGUGGAAUUCGUAGUGUAGCGGUGAAAUGCGUAGAUAGUAGGAGGAACACCAGUGGCGAAGGCGGCUUGCUGGACCGUAAAUGACGCUGAGGCACGAAAGCGUGGGGAGCGAACAGGAGUAGAUACCCCAGUAGUC